rnacentral:misc_RNA from 1 species
UCCGGUUUGUCACCGGCGGUCUCCUUAGAGUUCCCACCAUUACGUGCUGGCAACUAAGGACAAGGGUUGCGCUCGUUGCGGGACUUAACCCAACAUCUCACGACACGAGCUGACGACAGCCAUGCACCACCUGUGAUGGUGUCCCGAAGGAAGGGUGUGUUUCCACACCUGUCACCAACAUUUCAAACCCAGGUAAGGUUCUUCGCGUUGCAUCGAAUUAAACCACAUGCUCCGCUGCUUGUGCGGGUCCCCGUCAAUUUCUUUGAGUUUUAAUCUUGCGACCGUACUUCCCAGGCGGAUCACUUAACGCGUUAGCUCCGGCACUGAAGGGGUCAAUACCUCCAACAACAAGUAUCCAUCGUUUACGGUGUGGACUAC